CUUUGAGACUUCACUUCUGUCACAGAGAGCUUGAAGCUAUAGAUUUAGCUUUCAAUACGUGGUUCCAGGAAGCCCUUUGGCGCUCUCACCUCUGGUUGAUUUUGCUGGCAAUCCAUACCAGCAACAUCUGACUUCUAAUUGGCUUUGAUGUCUCUUUCCACAGGCUUUCAGUUUUCUCUUUCCACAGGCUUUCAGUGUACCGCCUUAAAAAGACCAUUGUUCUAUAUGGAGGGUCUGGCAUGCCCAGGUUUACAGAGCCAGGUGGAAGUCAGAGGAAAACUGGACAGAAAGCAAGACUUGUUAUAUACCAGAUGUUUUUCUCUGAAUUAAAUUUUCCAAGGAGGGAGAGUGCAGUCCCCUUUCCAUCACCCUUCACUUCACUUCUUGAAAUGAAAGCACUCUCUGCAUGCUGGUGGAAGAGUUCAGCCCUGACACCAAGGCUAACAACUGGCUCUGGGCCAAGUUAUCAGGAAGUUUUACUCAGGAGUGUUAAUCUUCACAGGCUUGGUUUUAUAGUGAAUGAAUAGGCGUUUGCCACCUAACUGCUUUGUAGCUGUCACCCAUCUUGAACAAUGAACAGUGUAUCUGCUUUAACUGGAUGGAUGGUAAGUGAAUAUAAAUAGGACACAUCAUCCUUUGAAAAUAAAAUGACACUACAUUUUCUCA
rnacentral:lncRNA from 1 species